GGGCCAGACUCCUACGGGAGGCAGCAGUGGGGAAUAUUGCACAAUGGGGGGAACCCUGAUGCAGCGACGCCGCGUGGGUGAAGGAGCACCUCGGUGCGUAAAGCCCUAUCGGCAGGGAAGAAACAGACGGUACCUGACUAAGAAGCCCCGGCUAACUACGUGCCAGCAGCCGCGGUAAUACGUAUGGGGCAAGCGUUAUCCGGAUUUACUGGGUGUAAAGGGAGCGCAGGCGGCCUGGCAAGCCUGAUGUGAAAUACCGGGGCCCAACCCCGGGGCUGCAUUGGGAACUGCCAGGCUGGAGUGCCGGAGAGGCAGGCGGAAUUCCUAGUGUAGCGGUGAAAUGCGUAGAUAUUAGGAGGAACACCAGUGGCGAAGGCGGCCUGCUGGACGGUGACUGACGCUGAGGCUCGAAAGCGUGGGGAGCAAACAGGAUUAGAUACCCCAGUACGC
rnacentral:rRNA from 1 species